GCAUGGCUGUCGUCAGCUCGUGUCGUGAGAUGUUGGGUUAAGUCCCGCAACGAGCGCAACCCUCAUCCUUAGUUACCAUCAGGUAAUGCUGGGGACUUUAAGGAAACUGCCAGUGAUAAGCUGGAGGAAGGUGGGGAUGAUGUCAAGUCAUCAUGGCCCUUAUGGAGUGGGCUACACACGUGCUACAAUGGUGGCUACAAUGGGCUGCAAAGUCGCAAGGCUAAGCCAAUCCCUUAAAAGCCAUCUCAGUUCGGAUUGUACUCUGCAACUCGAGUGCAUGAAGUUGGAAUCGCUAGUAAUCGUGGAUCAGCACGCCACGGUGAAUACGUUCUCGGGUCUUGUACACACUGCCCGUCACGCCAUGGGAAU
rnacentral:rRNA from 1 species